AAAGGACGGGCGUCCAAAUAAUGCCUCGCGCUAUUCCCUGUACGUCAAGCUGUGACCCCCGCUAUGGUAGGGGUAGCCUCGGAGCCUUUGCUCCUGCAGGAGUACGUGCACGGAAACUGUGGGGGU
rnacentral:sRNA from 12 species